rnacentral:snoRNA from 1 species
GGCCUUAUAGUGCUUACCACAGGCUGUGUUCUUACACUGACUGUAUAGAAAGAGGACCUAGAGUAAACCCUACCUGAUAUACACCCAAGGCCCUGUGUCUGGUCUGUAUUGUGAACAGGGGGAUAUGG